rnacentral:rRNA from 1 species
AGAGUUUGAUCAUGGCUCAGAAUCAACGCUGGCGGCGUGCCUAACACAUGCAAGUCGAACGCGAAAACCCCGCAAGGGGUUAGUAGAGUGGCAAACGGGUGAGUAACGCGUGGGUGACCUGCCUUCGAGCGGGGGAUAACGUUCCGAAAGGGACGCUAAUACCGCAUAACAUCCUGCCUUUGAACAGGUGGAGAUCAAAGCUGGGGAUCGCAAGACCCGGCACUUGAAGAGGGGCCCGCGUCUGAUUAGCUAGUUGGUGAGGUAACGGCUCACCAAGGCGACGAUCAGUAUCCGGCCUGAGAGGGCGGACGGACACACUGGGACUGAGACGCGGCCCAGACUCCUACGGGAGGCAGCAGUGGGGAAUUGUUCGCAAUGGGCGCAAGCCUGACGACGCAACGCCGCGUGGAGGAUGAAGAUUUUCGGAUCGUAAACUCCUGUCGAAUGGGACGAAUAGGUCACGGCUUAAUACUCCGUGAUCCUGACGGUACCGUUAAAGGAAACCCCGGCUAACUCCGUGCCAGCCGCCGCGGUAAUAC